GGCGCACGGGUGAGUAACACGUGGAUAAUUUGCCUUCGGGUGGGGAAUAACAACCGGAAACGGUUGCUAAUACCGCAUAAUGCAGCGGCAUCUAUGAUGACAGUUGUUAAAGCGGGGGAUCGCAAGACCUCGCGCCUGAAGAGAAGUCCGCGGCAGAUUAACUAGUUGGUAGGGUAAUGGCCUACCAAGGCGACGAUCUGUAGCCGGCCUGAGAGGGCGGUCGGCCACACUGACACUGACAUACGGGUCAGACUCCUACGGGAGGCAGCAGUCGGGAAUUUUGGGCAAUGGGCGAAAGCCUGACCCAGCAACGCCGCGUGAAGGAUGAAGUUUCUCGGAAUGUAAACUUCACAAGAAUGGGAAGAAUAAGUUGGGGUUAAUACCCCCGACGAUGACGGUACCAUUUGUAAGCUCCGGCUAACUCCGUGCCAGCCGCCGCGG
rnacentral:rRNA from 1 species